rnacentral:rRNA from 1 species
UACGUAGGGACCGAGCGUUGUCCGGAUUCAUUGGGCGUAAAGAGCUCGUAGGCGGCUGUUCAAGUCGAACGUGAAAACUCGGAGCUCAACUCCGAGCCUGCGUUCGAUACUGGACGGCUAGAGUCUGGUAGGGGGAUCUGGAAUUCCUGGUGUGAGCGGUGGAAUGCGCAGAUAUCAGGAGGAACACCGGUGGCGAAGGCGGGAUCCUGGACAAAAACUGACGCUGAGGCGCAAAGCUAGGGAGCAA